rnacentral:tRNA from 1 species
AAACUAUUAAUUAUUUUGUUUUGAAAACAAAAUAAAAGAUUAAUUCUUGUAGUUUU